UGGGUGGGGAGAGACUGUCAAACUCUAGGUAGACCUUGGCCUAGUCUCCGCAUUCCCCCCUCCCCUCCUGUGUGUAACCAGUAAUCUGAGGGCAGCUGCCUGGAGAGAACAGGAAGUCCAUCAGGAGGGUGGGCCAGUUCUUGGGCAGGAACUGCAGUUUAUAUUAGUGUUUUUUGGGGUGGGAAAGUACAGUUGUUGGUUGGUGCUUGCAAGAGGAGGAGCUUGCUCCUAAGCCAAAGGUGGUGGCCAUGUUGGAAACUCCACCUGGAAUGAUUGUUUACUAAUGAGAGAUUGCUCAAGGAAGAACACCAAAACUGUCUUGAAGUUCCGGAAAGGACAAGUUUGAGCCUCUGUGAAAAAGCUUCUCAGUGGACAGUUCUAGAACAGGAGGCGAACUUUGAACUAUUUUUAUUGAAGUUACAUUGCUUACAGUUAAAGAGCUUUGCAGCAUGUGAUUUAAAGAGAUAUUUAAAGAGACAUUGACACAGAGUCCUGGAAGUCUGGCUAUUGUAAUUGUGAUUUUUACAUGAAUUUUGGCACUUCAUUGUGAUACUGUAUUAUUUUGAUAAGAAUAUAUUGUUUCAUUGUGACUUGGUGCAAUUUGUUUCUAUUGCUAUUUACACUGAAGUCUGUCAGAGUUCUACAAUCCAGUUUGGGCAUGAGUUUAAAGAGGGAGAGAGAUGGAGUGUUUUUGCCUGAUUUUAUUUAAUUCUUCUGUUCACUUAUAAUAUGCCUGUGUAUAGUUAUAAUGUUUAAAUAAAUCUUUUGAAUGUUAA